rfam:Dipodomys ordii contig_64692, whole genome shotgun sequence.
GGUGGCUCAGUGCUAGAGCACUUGCCUUGCAUGCAUGAGGCCCUGGGUUCAAUUCCUCAGCACCA